rnacentral:rRNA from 1 species
GACGAACGCUGGCGGCGUGCUUAACACAUGCAAGUCGAACGAAGUGGCGGACGGGUGAGUAACGCGUAAUCACCCUGCCCUUCUGAGGGGGACAACAGUUGGAAACGACUACUAAUACCGCAUACUGAAGAAGGGGAUUGCGUCUGAUUAGCCAGUUGGGGGGGUAACGGCCCACCAAGGCGAAGAUCAGUAGCCGGUCUGGGAGGAGUGACGGCCCAAUUGGGACUGGGACACGGCCCAAGAUGCUACGGGAGGCAGCAAGGGGGAAUUUUUCGCAAUGGGCGAAAGGCCGGACGAGCAAAGCCGGGGGAGGGAUGACGGCCUUCGGGUUGUAAAGCUUUGUUAAUCGGGACGCGGUACCGGAAUAGAAAGCCACGGCUAACUACGUGCCAGCAGCCGCGGUAAUUC